rnacentral:rRNA from 1 species
CUCAGGAUGAACGCUAGCGGAGGCUAACACAUGCAAGCCGAGCGGUAGAGAUUCUUCGGGAUCUUGAGACGCGGCGUACGGGUGCGGAACACGUGUGCAACCUACCUUUAUCUGGAGGAUAGCCUUUCGAAAGGAAGAUUAAUACUCCAUAAUAUAUUGAUUGGCAUCGAUUGAUAUUGAAAGCUCCGGCGGAUAGAGAUGGGCACGCGCAAGAUUAGCUAGUUGGUGAGGUAACGGCUCACCAAGGCGAUGAUCUUUAGGGGCCUGAGAGGGUGAUCCCCCACACUGGUACUGAGACACGGACCAGACUCCUACGGGAGGCAGCAGUGAGGAAUAUUGGUCAAUGGGUGCAAGCCUGAACCAGCCAUCCCGCGUGAAGGACGACUGCCCUAUGGGUUGUAAACUUCUUUUGUAUAGGGAUAAACUUACCCUCGUGAGGGUAGCUGAAGGUACUAUACGAAUAAGCACCGGCUAACUCCGUG